CCUACGGGUGGCAGCAGUGAGGAAUAUUGGUCAAUGGUCGGGAGACUGAACCAGCCAAGCCGCGUGAGGGAUGAAGGUACAGAGUAUCGUAAACCUCUUUUGUCAGGGAACAAAGGCGGGGACGUGUCCCCGGAUGAGUGUACCUGAAGAAAAAGCAUCGGCUAACUCCGUGCCAGCAGCCGCGGUAAUAGGGAGAAUGCGAGCGUUAUCCGGAUUUAUUGGGUUUAAAGGGUGCGCAGGCGGGCUGUUAAGUCAGCGGUAAAAGCCCGGGGCCCAACCCCGGCCCGCCGUUGAAACUGGCAGUCUCGAGUUGGAGAGAAGUAUGCGGAAUGCGCGGUGUAGCGGUGAAAUGCAUAGAUAUCGCGCAGAACUCCGAUUGCGAAGGCAGCAUGCCGGCUCCACACUGACGCUGAGGCACGAAAGCGUGGGUAUCGAACAGGAUUAGAUACCCGGGUAGUC
rnacentral:rRNA from 1 species